UAAAAAAGGAAACAUAUAUGCACUGUAGUAGAUACAGAAUAGCACAAAGAAAAAUCACCCAUAAUCCCAUUAUGAAAGAUAGUUAAUAUAUUUGAUCUAUAUCCUUCUCAUCCCCUUACAUAUAUACAUUAUUCUGCUUUUAAUAAAUACACAAUCCAUUCUAUUCCGUAAUGUCUUUUUCAUUUAACAUUACAUCAUAAUCGUC
rnacentral:lncRNA from 10 species